UACGGAGGGUGCGAGCGUUGUUCGGAAUUACUGGGCGUAAAGCGCGUGUAGGCGGCCUUCUAAGUCUGGUGUGAAAGCCCGGGGCUCACCCCCGGAAGUGCAUUGGAUACUGGGAGGCUGGAGUACCGGAGAGGAGGGUGGAAUUCCUGGUGUAGCGGUGAAAUGCGUAGAUAUCGGGAGGAACACCAGUGGCGAAGGCGGCCCCCUGGGCCGCUCCUGACGCUGAGACGCGAAGGCCAGGGUAGCGAACGGG
rnacentral:rRNA from 1 species